rnacentral:rRNA from 1 species
AGAGUUUGAUCAUGGCUCAGAACGAACGCUGGCGGCAGGCUUAACACAUGCAAGUCGAACGCCCCGCAAGGGGAGUGGCAGACGGGUGAGUAACGCGUGGGAACGUACCUUUCGCUUCGGAAUAGUCCCGGGAAACUGGGUUUAAUACCGAAUACGCCGUAUUGGGAAAGAUUUAUCGGCGAAAGAUCGGCCCGCGUUAGAUUAGCUAGUUGGCGGUGUAAUGGACCACCAAGGCUACGAUCUAUAGCUGGUCUGAGAGGAUGAUCAGCCACACUGGGACUGAGACACGGCCCAGACUCCUACGGGAGGCAGCAGUGGGGAAUCUUGGACAAUGGGCGCAAGCCUGAUCCAGCCAUGCCGCGUGAGUGAAGAAGGCCUUAGGGUUGUAAAACUCUUUCGCCGGUGAAGAUAAUGACGGUAACCGGAGAAGAAGCCCCGGCUAACUUCGUGCCAGCAGCCGCGGUAAUACGAAGGGGGCUAGCGUUGUUCGGAAUUACUGGGCGUAAAGCGCACGUAGGCGGGUUUGUAAGUAGGGGGUGAAAUCCCAGGGCUCAACCCUGGAACUGCCUUCUAAACUGCAAGCCUGGAGGUCAGGAGAGGCGAGUGGAAUACCGAGUGUAG